rnacentral:tmRNA from 1 species
GGGGGCGAUUGGUUUCGACGGCAUGCUGGAGGGUCUGAAGGAGCGAGCCGAGGUCGUCCGAACCUCGUUAAACGCGGACACAAAGAUAAACGUCAACAACAAUAAUUACGCACUGGCAGCUUAGCGCUGCCACGUCUUAUGCGGCAGUAGCCGCCGCUUUCGUAUAAGGCGACACAAAAUGGCGGAUGCUUUUCGGGGAGUGUCUCCGGUCUCGAAAAAAAGAUAAGGGGGCUCGGGUGCGAAGAUCCUGUUUCCGGGAGCUUCAAACCGACACCAAAUCGGAAACUACGCUCGUAGCGCCUUCACGGCCGGCCCUUGUCGGACGGGGGUUCGAUCCCCCCCGCCUCCACCA